AUUGAACGCUGGCGGCAGGCCUAACACAUGCAAGUCGAACGAGUGGCGGACGGGUGAGUAAUGUCUGGGACACUGCCCGAUGGGGGGGUAUCACUUCUGGAAACGGUAUCUAAUACCGCAUUCUCUCGGAUGUCCCCAGAUGGGAUUAGCUAGUAGGUGGGGUAACGGCUCACCUAGGCGACGAUCCCUAGCUGGUCUGAGAGGAUGACCAGCCACACUGGAACUGAGACACGGCCCAGACUCCUACGGGAGGCAGCAGUAGGGAAUAUUGGGCAAUGGACGAAAGUCUGAGCGAGCAAUGCCGCGUGAGUGAAGAAGGUUUUCGGGUUGUAAAGCUCUGUUGUUAGAGAAGCGGUAUCUAAAGAGGAAGCACCGGCUAACUACGUGCCAGCAGCCGCGGUAAUAC
rnacentral:rRNA from 1 species